rnacentral:rRNA from 1 species
AGUGAACGCUGGCGGUAGGCCUAACACAUGCAAGUCGAACGGCAGCACAGUAAGAGCUUGCUCUUACGGGUGGCGAGUGGCGGACGGGUGAGGAAUACAUCGGAAUCUACUUUUUCGCGGGGGAUAACGUAGGGAAACUUACGCUAAUACCGCAUACGACCUACGGGUGAAAGCAGGGGAUCUUCGGACCUUGCGCGAUUGCAUGAGCCGAUGUCGGAUUAGCUAGUUGGCGGGGUAAAGGCCCACCAAGGCGACGAUCCGUAGCUGGUCUGAGAGGAUGAUCAGCCACACUGGAACUGAGACACGGUCCAGACUCCUACGGGAGGCAGCAGUGGGGAAUAUUGGACAAUGGGCGCAAGCCUGAUCCAGCCAUACCGCGUGGGUGAAGAAGGCCUUCGGGUUGUAAAGCCCUUUUGUUGGGAAAGAAAAGCAGCAGGUUAAUACCCCGCUGUUCUGACGGUACCCAAAGAAUAAGCACCGGCUAACUUCGUG